rnacentral:lncRNA from 1 species
AGUGCGGGACGCAGUCUGGCGGCCGGGCUGACGGUAAACUUGGAUGGUGAACAGCUCCACGCAGCCCUGGAGAGGAAGGCAGAGGACAGCCGCCAGGGGCUGGUGCUGGGGCUGCACCACAGCCUCUCGGGGCUGCAGGGCAUCCUGCCCUCCCAGCUGGAGAUGAGUGGGUUGGGUGCCCAUGUGGGCCAGGCUUCAGCCUGCACCAGGCCCUGCCUGGUAGAAUGAAGACAGUGGAGGCCCUGGUCCCUCAGUUCCUCCCUGGGGCUCCUGUCCUGGAGAAGCCCCACACCCGCAGCUGUCGUCUUCAUUGUUCUCAUAAACGAAAAGCAGGAAAGCACCUCGGAGCCCGUCCCCGCGGGUGGCUAAACCGUCCAUGGUGGGAGAUGGAAUGUGAGUGACCAGGGCUCCUGGCCUGAAGCCAGGCUGCACCAUCGCUGACUGUGUGACCACACGCAAGGUGCUUCCUCUUUCCCUGACUCGUGUGACUCAGUUUCCUCAUCUGCCACCUCCUUCCAUGGUUACUCUGAGGUUCAGUUAGCACCGUGCCUGGCGCAGAGGCCCUGCAUGCGGGGAGCUCUGCUUACCUUCAUCUGAUGAUAAGGCUGUGGCUUCGCCCUCAAGUCUUUGUGCAAACCUCUCUUUUGGGUUAUUUGCCCUUGGUGGCUUCCCCAAAGGGUAGGGUCAAGUGGGUUCUUGGCACCCACGACAGUUCACUCUGGGGUCGGAGAAGAAGUCAGCCCUUUCCCACCCACUGGUCUCUGUAGGUCAACUGCAGUGGAGACGCCUCGCCCACCCAACUGUUAGGACGGUGCCGAGGGGACAUCGCUGGGCAGCCUCUCGAGGUCUCUGUGGACAUUGACAAUGGCAGCUCCGGCUUCGAGCAUUCUGGACGCAUCAUGAUGGGGCCCACAUUCCUCAACUACUCUGUGAGCUGCUGUUACCGUGAUGGGCACCUGGAGCUCUCCGGCCGGAGCUGGCACAAGAGUGAGGCCUUGUUGUGGGCAGGGUUCCCAGGCGAGGCCUGCCUGAGCGCUGAGCUGCAGAUAAAUGAGACCCAGACCCAGGCCAGGGCAGCCCUCCGUGGCAGGGACGGUGGAGUCAGCGUGGACCUGGCAGCCCUGGUGGCUUGGCCACUGUAUGGCCCAUUGCAGUUGGUGGCCAAUGCCAGCCAUGCAGUGCCUGCUCUCCAGAGGCUGGGCCUGCCCUUCACCAACCAGCUUGUGUUCCAAGGACUCUGGGAGGCAGAAGAGAUGAGCUCCUCGCUGCAGCUGACCUGUGAUUCUCAGGCCACCUUGGUCCUCGACGUCCGUGGCCAGAACCAGGCAGUCAGCAAAGAGCUGCUAUUCUCCGGCCAGCAUCACCUCCCCUCCCUCCUGGGCUGCUGCCCCAGCUCAGCCUCAGCCUCAGCUAAGCUACGCUACUCCAAGGGUGAGGUUCAGAGCAUGUUCGCCUUGGGCGUGGAGGAGCAUCAUUUUCACAUCAGCACCCAGCAGGUAGCUGCUAAGGCCAGUCUCAGCAACUUCAUCAAACUGGAACAGACCUUCCUGCAGCUCAGCGCUCUUCCCGGGGAGCUGGUCCUGCAGACCACAUAUGAGCGAGCUCAUGGGACCCGUGUCCUGCGCCAGGUGGUGCUGUGGGAUGGCCAGGAGGUGGCCCUCACCGGGAGCCUCUCUGGCCUUUUCCCCAAGCCCACCAGGAACUUCAGCCUGCAGGUGGAGCUCACCCACCCGCUGCCCCUCCCCCUGCCACGACACUGCAGCCUCCGCCUGUCCUCAGAGCAUUCGGGAGGCAGCCACCGGGAUAGCCUGGUUGUCGCCUGGGAUGGCAGGGACCAGGUGCUGGUCUCCUCCUCCCUGUGGCUGGGGAAGAGUGAGUUGGCCGCCCGCCUGGCCCUGGCUCACCCAUUCAACCUCUCUUGGCGGCAAGCCGAGGCCAGUGGCCUUGCUGAGAGCAGGGGUGGCAGGCAGACCCGGCAGGUGCAGCUCACCUGGAACACAGGACAACCUGUGACCCUGCAGCUCACCUGGGCUGACGGGUCCUCAGCAUACAGGACCACCUGGGACGGCUGCCUGGCCGCCUCCCCGGGGCAGCUCCAGGAAGCUUGGGGCCUGGACACCCUCCAGGCCUGCGGGGCCUUAAUGCAGACCCCAGCUGUGUUCGUUGAACAGCUCGACCUGUCCUGGGGCCAACACCGCAUAUGGCAGAACUUGACAUACGAGAGGCACCGGCCAUCUCAGCCAGGCAGGAUCAUCGCGGAGGCCACCCUGGAGCAUGUCCUCGGAACCUUUUGUACCCGGCAGAGCUUCCGGGGAGAAGUACAGACUGACUAUGCACGCUGGCUGCGGCACUCCCUCCACCUGGGGCUCUGUGACCUGCCCAGGGCCCUCUUGGUCACCGGGGAGCACGUCCUGGGCCAGGGUGGACUCCUGCUGCGUUCCCGCUGCCACCUGGGCCUCGCACCAGACCCAGACCACGGUCUGCACCUCAGCCUGACCCUCCGAAACCACAGCAGGCCUCAUUCGACUGACUUCUCCGGGACGCUGGAGCUUCAUGGCUCCAAGGCUCAGCGGGUUGGCCUACUGGGCCGUGUCUCCACCUCGGCUUCUCAAAGCCUGGUCCGACUGGAGGGAAAUGUGGACAACAGAGACGAGAAAGUGAGACUGUCUGUGUUCCGGGCCCCAAGCUGUCUCCAGGCCUCUGUGGCACAUGAGGAGGGGGGCAGAGAGGAGAGUGUGGUGCUGCGGGCAUGUGCCCACGGGCGGACAGCUGAGGUGGAGGUCCUGUUCCGGGAUGGCAGGCAGCCCUUCCAGCCGCUGGGACACCUGACCCUGCAGGCUGCCAACCACAGCCUCCUGCUGGCUGCGCACGGCUGUCGGGGGGUCCUGCUGGGCCAUGUGGAGUCCAGGAUCAUAGCAGUUGGCUCCCAGGUGCAAGCCCAACUGGAAGACAAGAUUCAAGGCUUGGGUGCCUCUGUGAGAAGGUUCCAGCAAUUGGUGCAGCUGGCAGGCACCCUGGACGGCGUGGCAGGCCUCCUUCUGCAGCUGUCCCAGGUGGGGCGGGAGGCCGUGCAGGCGAGUGGUUGGGCGGUAGCCACGUUGUGGGCCCGGAGCCAGGCCCUGACCCAGUACCUGCUUCUUUACCUGGAGUGGCUGCAGGUGGGGCUGGAGCAGCUGCGGGAUGAGCUGGAAUGGCCCCUGGCCACACUGAAGGACGCCUACCUGGAGGUGACACUGCGGCCCCUGGAGGAGGUGUGGCGGGAGCGGGCAGAGGAGGCCAUGCGGCGGCUGCAGGCCUGGGUGCCCGGGAUGCCAAGCAAUGGGGGUCCCAGGCCCAUCAGGGUGGCCCUGGGGGCGGUGAAAGGAACCCUGGAGCUGGCCGCCCACCAGCUGCUGUCCUGGGCUGAGGCCACGUUCUCACGGGCACUGAAGAGGCUCUGCAAACCCCUACUGGACCUGUACAGCCUCUCGGCCAGAAACCGCUCAGUGGUGGUGACACUGCCACUGCUGCCUGUGGGGGAUGAGCCCCUCGAUGUGGCCCAGGUGACCAGCUACCUGGUGGAGAAGCUGCUGCGGCCGCUCCGAGAGCUGUCUGGGGCCAACAUGCUGGCCGAGUACUACCGGCUCAGACGCCGCCUGCUGGAGGGCCCCUGGGACUACCAUGCCCUGGUAGCUGGGGCCCAGCACGUGGUUACCUUCGACGGCCGGGUAUGGGACCUCAGCGCCCAGUGUGGCAGCAUCCUCCUGGCCCAGGACUUUGCUCACAACACAUUCUCACUGACACGGAGUCGGACAGGCUCGGGGCUCACGGCCCUGUCCGUGGAGCUAAACCACAUGACCCUCGUCUUCUACCCCAGUCUGCAGGCCUACAGACUGUACAACUCCUCCGUGCCGGGGGAGAGCUGUCCGGACCUCGAGCUGCAUCCUACCACGACAAGGAGGAACGUCCCCAGGAUUGAGCUGGCCAGUGAGGACGGGGUCUCUGUCUCCUGUGACGUGCCCACCGGCGUCUGCAGCCUGACUCUGGGCCUCUGGCACCAUGGUAUAUCUGCUGGUCUUCUAGGCACCAAUGACAAUGAAGCAGGCAAUGAGAUGAUGUUGCCAGACGGCUCUGUGGCCCGCAGCCUGGAGCAGCUCAGCCUGGCCUGGCAGGUGGGUGGUGACUGCAGGGCCACUGAGAAGACUCAGCAGGCCUGCCGAGAACAGAGCCCCACCUGCCGGGCCUUCUUCGAGGACCCCCACUCCAGCUUGAGGAGCUGCUUCUGGGUGGUAGACCCUACACCAUUCCUCAGCCUGUGUGUGCAGGACGCCUGUGGCACCCGGGAGCUCCAGCCUGCCUGCAACCUGGUGGCCGCCUACAUCCACCUGUGUGCCCAGGGCUUUGUGCCCCUGGCCCUUCCUCCACAGUGUGUUUGAGAUGUCAUCCAAGCCAGCAUUAGGCUACCAAAGACUUCAAACUCCUUCACCUUCUACUCCAAUUCCAGUUCCUUGGCAAGGGCAAGAUUCAUGGCUGGGACAGAAUAAGCAGCAUGGAAUGCCGGGAAACUCAGAACUGCACAUGCUUCAAACGCAGGGAAUAAGAGCUCCUUGCCACUGGGCUCAAAAAUACUUCUGGGGGAAACUCUGCCACUGGUCUGGGUAAUUCUCCCCCUUCCUCCACACCUCCACUGUAAAGAGGAGACAGUGUGGCCAGCGAGUAUCAGCUCUGCAGAGACAACUCCACCUGGCCCCUGUUCAUGCCCAAGAUAUUUACUCACUUAUUCAACAUCCAUCUGGGAAGCCGCUUCAGAACACUGACUGUGUGGUGGGGGACACGAAGCCAGGCCCUCAGCAGCUUGGUACUGGUUUUCCCUGCCUGAUCCAGGGGUCUUCUGAGGCAGGAGGUUCCUUGAGGGGAACUGGUGGCCCCAAGCCUGUUAAUCAGAAGCCCAGGUAGGGAGCUUCUCUCGUUGGGGUAGACACACUGGGACGGAAUGCUUCAGGAGGCUCUGGGGAGGGCCUCCGCUUUGGUAGGGGUACCUGUGAACUCAGGCCCCCAGGCUACAGCAUUGGAAGUUUUUUACUUUCUUUUGGGAUAUAACUUUUUCCUUUGAGUUUUCAACUGAAAAAUAAAGCUGGCAGAAUCCAAGAACGUGUCUCUGGA